AUGUGUAAUGGUAAUGCGAUGUUACGGGAGUUCGUUCCACGGUUGUUCGUCGACAUGGCACCGAAAGAAGACGUAGAGUUUCUUGUCACGUGAGCCAAUCAACGGGCCGAACGAUCGAAGACGUCCAAUUUCGCACCGAUCAUAGGUAGAUCCCCCUCUCACGGAGCCUUCCCCUUCUACGCGCCGCGACCGAGAGAGAGAGACCUCAGUGUGCUGUGGAGCGUAGAGCAGAGCAGAUGUGGGGGACUGCGCCAUCGUGAAACGCGCAUACUGGAGCGAUCGAGGUGGGGGUGAGCUGCUGGACUCGUGCGAGAUCGAGACGCUGGCUUUGGGAUCAGGUUUACUUCGGAAGUGGCGACUUCUUCGGGACAGUUGAUAGAGGAUGCGAGUAGUUGCAGGCAUGCCUGAUGAUGGAGUAUAAAGGUAACGUAUUGGCUGCUGUAAUGAAAAAAGAUGCAUCUAAAUGUGUCUAAGUAGCGCAUUCGUUUAGUCUAUGUCAGUGUUUCUCAAGCUU